rnacentral:tRNA from 1 species
GGAGGUAUAACUCAGAGGUAGAGUGCAUGCCUAGCAUGCACAGGGCCCUGGGUUCAAUCCCCAGUACCUCCA